rnacentral:misc_RNA from 1 species
GAUGAAGAACGCAGCGAAAUGCGAUACUUGGUGUGAAUUGCAGAAUCCCGUGAACCAUCGAGUCUUUGAACGCAAGUUGCGCCCGAAGCCAUUAGGCCGAGGACACGCCUGCCUGGGCGUCACACGUCGUUGCCCCCCCAUCUACUCCUUCGGGAUUGCGGGGGGCGGAUGAUGGCCUCCCGUGCGCCUCGUCGCGCGGUUGGCAUAAAUGCCAAGUCCUCGGCGACGCACGCCACGACAAUCGGUGGUUGCGAAACCUCGGUUGCCCGUCGUGUGCGGUCGUCGCGCAUCGAGGGCUCGAAAAAAUUGCCGGGCUCCGGCUCGGCUUUCAACGCGACCCCAGGUCAGGCGGGGUUACCCGCUGAAUUUAAGCAUAUCAAUAAGCGGAGGA